UACGUAGGGUGCGAGCGUUAAUCGGAAUUACUGGGCGUAAAGCGUGCGCAGGCGGGCUUUUAAGCCAGACGUGAAAUCCCCGGGCUUAACCUGGGAAUGGCGUUUGGGACUGGAAGUCUGGAGUGCGGCAGAGGAGACUGGAAUUCCUGGUGUAGCAGUGAAAUGCGUAGAUAUCAGGAGGAACACCGAUGGCGGAGGCAGGUCUCUGGGCUGACACUGACGCUCAUGCACGAAAGCGUGGGGAGCAAACAGG
rnacentral:rRNA from 1 species